GACGAACGCUGGCGGCGUGCUUAACACAUGCAAGUCGAACGGAAAGGCCCUGCUUUUGUGGGGUGCUCGAGUGGCGAACGGGUGAGUAACACGUGAGUAACCUGCCCUUGACUUUGGGAUAACUUCAGGAAACUGGGGCUAAUACCGGAUAGGAGCUCCUGUUGCAUGGUGGGGGUUGGAAAGUUUCGGCGGGUGGGGAUGGACUCGCGGCUUAUCAGCUUGUUGGUGGGGUAGUGGCUUACCAAGGCUUUGACGGAUAGCCGGCCUGGGAGGGUGACCGGCCACAUUGGGACUGAGAUACGGCCCAGACUCCUACGGGAGGCAGCAGUGGGGAGUAUUGCACAAUGGGCGGAAGCCGGAUGCAGAGACGCCGCGUGCGGGAUGACGGCCUUCGGGUUGUAAACCGCUGUAGCCUGUGACGAAGCGUGAGUGACGGUAAUGGGUAAAGAAGCACCGGCUAACUACGUG
rnacentral:rRNA from 1 species